AGGCUGCAGUGGGGAAUAUUGCACAAUGGGCGCAAGCCUGAUGCAGCAACGCCGCGUGAGGGACGAAGGCCUUCGGGUUGUAAACCUCUUUUAGUAGGGAAGAAGCGAAAGUGACGGUACCUGCAGAAAAAGCACCGGCUAACUACGUGCCAGCAGCCGCGGUAAUACGUAGGGUGCAAGCGUUAUCCGGAAUUAUUGGGCGUAAAGAGCUCGUAGGCGGUUUGUCGCGUCUGCUGUGAAAACUGGAGGCUCAACCUCCAGCCUGCAGUGGGUACGGGCAGACUAGAGUGCGGUAGGGGAGAUUGGAAUUCCUGGUGUAGCGGUGGAAUGCGCAGAUAUCAGGAGGAACACCGAUGGCGAAGGCAGAUCUCUGGGCCGUAACUGACGCUGAGGAGCGAAAGCAUGGGGAGCGAACAGGAUUAGAUACCCUGGUAGUCCAUGCCGUAAACGUUGGGAACUAGAUGUAGGGACCAUUCCGCGGUUUCUGUGUCGCAGCUAACGCAUUAAGUUCCCCGCCUGGGGAGUACGGCCGCAAGGCUAAAACUCAAAGGAAUUGACGGGGGCCCGCACAAGCGGCGGAGCAUGCGGAUUAAUUCGAUGCAACGCGAAGAACCUUACCAAGGCUUGACAUAUACGAGAACGGGCCAGAAAUGGUCAACUCUUUGGACACUCGUAAACAGGUGGUGCAUGGUUGUCGUCAGCUCGUGUCGUGAGAUGUUGGGUUAAGUCCCGCAACGAGCGCAACCCUCGUUCUAUGUUGCCAGCACGUAAUGGUGGGAACUCAUAGGAGACUGCCGGGGUCAACUCGGAGGAAGGUGGGGAUGACGUCAAAUCAUCAUGCCCCUUAUGUCUUGGGCUUCACGCAUGCUACAAUGGCCGGUACAAAGGGCUGCAAUACCGUAAGGUGGAGCGAAUCCCAAAAAGCCGGUCUCAGUUCGGAUUGAGGUCUGCAACUCGACCUCAUGAAGUCGGAGUCGCUAGUAAUCGCAGAUCAGCAACGCUGCGGUGAAUACGUUCCCGGGCCUU
rnacentral:rRNA from 1 species